GACGAACGCUGGCGGCGUGCUUAACACAUGCAAGUCGAACGGAAAGGCCCUGCUUUUGUGGGGUGCUCGAGUGGCGAACGGGUGAGUAACACGUGAGUAACCUGCCCUUGACUUUGGGAUAACUUCAGGAAACUGGGGCUAAUACCGGAUAGGAGCUCCUGCUGCAUGGUGGGGGUUGGAAAGUUUUGGCGGUUGGGGAUGGACUCGCGGCUUAUCAGCUUGUUGGUGGGGUAGUGGCUUACCAAGGCUUUGACGGGUAGCCGGCCUGAGAGGGUGACCGGCCACAUUGGGACUGAGAUACGGCCCAGACUCCUACGGGAGGCAGCAGUGGGGAAUAUUGCACAAUGGGCGGAAGCCUGAUGCAACAACGCCGCGUGCGGGAUGACGGCCUUCGGGUUGUAAACCGCUUUCGCCUGUGACGAAGCGUGAGUGACGGUAAUGGGUAAAGAAGCACCGGCUAACUACGUG
rnacentral:rRNA from 1 species